rnacentral:rRNA from 1 species
AUGAAGUCCGACGUCUGCUCCUUCGGCGUCGUGCUCUUCGAGGCGCUCAUGGCGCGGCGCCCGGAGAUGCUGACUGGGGACCAGGCCGUCGGCCUCGCCGAGCACGCGCUGGCAUGCCACCGGAGCGGCACCCUGCCGGACGCCGUCGACGCGGCGAUCAAGGACCAGGUCGCGCCGGAAUGCCUUGAGAAGUUCGCUGAGACCGCCGUGGAGUGUCUCGCGCACCAAGGCACGGAGCGGCCGGCCAUGGGCGACGUGCUAUGGAACCUAGAGUUGUCGAUGCAGCUGCAGCUGAUUAAUCCCAAUAAGACGUAG